CUAACACCAGGCAGAGAGUUUAAAUGCCACCAGUGCAGUUGGUGUGGAGCAGUUGUCGUCCACAGAUCUUCUUCAGAAACACCCACAAACGCUCACAAGGACCUGUACAGCUUUUCAGAGGAGACACAGCACAGCCGGUGGACUCUAAACCAGCAAAGACAUGGAGCUUUUCGAGACCAACCCCUACUUUUUCAACGACCAGCGUUUUUACGAAGGCGCCGAUAAUUUCUUCCAGUCCAGAAUCAAUGGUGGCUUCGAGCAAGCCGGAUAUCAGGACAGGAGCUCCAUGAUGGGCUUGUGUGGGGAUGGACGGAUGCUGACCACCACAGUUGGGUUGGAAGACAAACCAUCUCCAUCGUCCAGCCUCGGUUUGUCCAUGUCUCCUCAUCAGGAGCAACAGCACUGCCCCGGCCAGUGUCUCCCCUGGGCCUGCAAGGUGUGCAAGCGCAAGUCAGUGACUAUGGAUCGAAGAAAGGCCGCUACCUUGAGAGAGAAGAGGAGGUUGAAGAAGGUGAACGAGGCCUUUGAGGCUCUGAAGAGGAGCACAUUGAUGAACCCCAACCAGAGGCUGCCGAAGGUGGAGAUCCUGCGCAGUGCUAUACAGUACAUCGAGAGGCUGCAGGCACUGGUCAGUUCACUCAACCAGCAGGAGCAUGAACAGGGGAAUCUGCAUUAUAGAGCCACAGCCGCUGCUCCACAUACUGGGGUGAGUGCAGAUUUGGAGAACAAGACAGGUGUCGUCCUCUAGUGAUCAGGGCUCUGGCAGCACCUGCUGCAGCAGUCCAGAAUGGAGCAGCGCGUCUGAUCACUGUGUCCCCGCCUAUAGCUCCGCCCACGAGGAUCUGCUGAACGACGACUCGUCAGAGCAAUCCAACCUGAGGUCUCUGACGUCUAUAGUGGACAGCAUAACGGGAACAGAGGCGACUCCAGUGGCCUAUUCAGUGGACAUAAGCAAAUAAAUCAGAAGGCCGACUCACCGUUACCUUCAGACCAGCUUUCACUGACCACAACAGCAACAUUAGACAAAGCUUUUGCAAGUUAGACAAGCCUUGGAGGGCUUAAUUUCCAGACAAAUCUCGAGGUCCAUUUGAUUAUAUUUCCAAAUGUUUCUUAUCUCUGUGGAAAUAAGAAUGAAUUUCAGAUCCCCCUGCUGAAACUUAAGGCAGUCAGGAAGGCUGAUUCAUAUUUUCAUAGUUUGAUUCCUUUAUUUUUGCAUUCUGAUUUUGUGUGUGCUUUAUGCUUACCAAUGACAAAAUAUUUGUGGGUCCAAUGCUUUUGACCAAUUUUAUUUUAAUUUAAACUAGUUCCGAAUGCCAGUCUUGUAAAUAUGUUCCUAUUUUCUACAGAGUGCUUUUUGUUAUGUUAUUUUGUAUUUUUUUCCCUGUGUGUUUGCUAUUAUUUAUUUGGACUUUUAUAAUAAAGAUUGUUGUGUAUUUGUA